UUUUUUUUUAUGGAGCUAAAGAAUUUGACCAUGAAGAAAAGAUAGAGCUAAUUCAGAGGAUGUUUUUAUUUUUGUUGAUACAAAUCAUGGUAAGCUAUUCAUGCACACUAUGAAGAGGAUGGAUGGGCCCAAGCAAGCCCAAUUUAGCCCAUGGAAGCCCAAUCUUCGCCCCUCUUCUCCUCGUCACCUUCACCUCAUCACCCUAUUCAAAAAGAGGAGGCAACUGUCGGCGGCGCGUGUGCUCGUGGCUUCCCAUCGCUACCGCCAGACUCCCCUUCCUCCCCUCAAGAACACAUCACAGACUGCCGUCGAUCUUCUUCGGUUCUUCCACCCCUGAGUUCCAAGAGACAUUCUUGAUGAUACCCUCUUUGAUGCAAUUUGUGGAAUGAUCGAAGAGAGGUUCUUGUUCACAAAAAAAGAAGAAAAUGAGGGUGUUUUUGCAGUGGGUUCAGUGGUUACUUUCAAGAAUUCUGCUUGAUGAUGCUCUAUUCAAAGCGUGGAAAUGUUUGAUGGAAGGGGAGAGGCCAAAUUGAAGAAGAACUUGGUUCGGAAAUAAUCUUCAUAAUUAGUCCACAAGUAUGAAUUGACUGACUUGUGAGAAACAUCAGAAUCAUGAUAUGAUCAAAGGGGAAACCUAAAUGUAAGUAUGCUUUUAGGACCUUGUUCUAGUGCUUGAGGGCAUAGCACAUUGUUAUCUAAAGAUUAGUUACUUUGCUAUGGGAUAUAGGUCUUGUCUGAUAUCUUAAUAAAUAUUUUCAAGAUCCAGGCAGGAUCUCUAUGAGCUGUA